rnacentral:rRNA from 1 species
AUACGGAGGGUGCAAGCGUUAAUCGGAAUUACUGGGCGUAAAGCGCUCGUAGGCGGCUUGUAAAGUCGGAUGUGAAAGCCCCGGGCUCAACCUGGGAACUGCAUUCGAUACUGGCAGGCUAGAGUAUAGUAGAGGCAAGUGGAAUUCCGGGUGUAGCGGUGAAAUGCGUAGAUAUCCGGAGGAACAUCAGUGGCGAAGGCGACUUGCUGGACUAAUACUGACGCUAAGGAGCGAAAGCGUGGGGAGCAAACGGGAGUAGAAACCCCGGUAGUCC